ensembl:antisense A230060F14Rik RIKEN cDNA A230060F14 gene
GGGGAGGACAGCGGCACCCGGGGGAGGCUGGGCCAUGGUCUCUCGGAGCCGGACCCCGGCCAGCACCCAGCUGCCGAGCGUCACAGUCACAGGCGCCCAGUGCAGCUACACCCGGGAGGCCCGGGCCUCACGUGACCGCUCGAAGCGCGCCAUCCCCCGAGCCCCACGACAGCGACGCGGCUCACCUGAACCCCAACGUGGGCAGCAGGACCUGGCUGAGGUGCGCGCGCAGCUGCCCGAGCGUUGGCUCCGACUCCGGCACCUCGAGCGGCUGGGUCCGCUUCUGAAGCCGCACGCGCAGCUUCAUGGCGAGAGUCGGACCGCAAGCUUCGGUCGGCCCCGGGAAGAAACCGAAAGCAAGGAGCUCCGGGCCUGCGCUCCCGAGGAAUCCCCAGCGCUCCCCGCUCGGUCGACUACGCCCCCUAGAGCCUUCCGCUCGAGCGGAGGGCCGGGCGCCUGCGCUUCCCUAUCGCUGGCUCGGCGCGCGACAUCGCCACCUGGAGGCGAGGCGCGCACGGCGCAGGCGCUGGGUUUGCUUGGGCGCACUUGAGUCUCUACGCUUCUGCUUCUGCUUCUGCUGGGGUGAGCGAGUUUGUUCCUUCCCUCCCAGCAAGCAGGAUCUUUAGCUCUGGAAGGAAUGCUGCCAACAGUGUGGAGACAUGACAGACGGCCCUAACCUGAUGUCACUGGUUUCCGUGCCCAGAAAUGAACUGCUCUAUCCCUGUCAUUAGAGUGCUCAGACCUGCCUGAGAAAUAAUGUACACAGGUCCCCUGUGAUGACUAAAGAAAGUUAAUGUGAAGCCAGGGAUCCCUUAAGGGCUGUUGGAUGCCUGGGAGGUACUAGAGACCUGCAGGUGAGAUAAGAAUAGGAUAAUGGCUGUGAGGAUAGUAACUGCUGCCUUUGCUUCUUUAAAACUCACUAUCGCUAUGGGAAAGGGAUGAAAUGAUCUUUUAAUUACUAUAUAGCGGGAAGGUGAGAAACAACUGAGGAAAGUAAAACAGUUUUCCUGCUCAGCUUGUAUUUCGUGGUAAGUUGUAAUAUACACCUUUCUGAUGUCCAAUUUAAAACCCCAUCUUAUCCUUAGUCCCCCUUCCCUAUGGAAUGCUGUUUGGGCUCUAAAGCUGCCUUCCUUCUGCUAGCAGUAAGCAUAAACUCAUUUUAAUAUAAAUUUGAAUUGAGCCUAAGUCUUUGGUUUCUCCCAAUGGAUUUGAAGGCCACAACAGUAUAGCUCUUCACUUCUCACGAUAAAUCUUGAUAAACCAGACUGCCUCCAUCUCAGGCGUAAAAGCCAUCUUAUAGUAAAGACAAACUAGGUUUCUCAAGGAUUGGGCUAUGUCCCACCUGUAACCUUAGCUACAAAUGGCUCUGUACUGCCCCAUGCCUUUAUUUUAAAAGGUUAUUAUGGUGACCCUGUUGUAACCACCUUGCAACCAUGUCUUUGUUUCAAGAGGCUGUUAUGACCAACUUGGUAUGCUUAUGUUCUGCUUCGGUAAUACAUGCCUAUUUGCCUGCCAAAUCCUCAUCUGGAAACCCCCUACUCCUGAACUAUUACAAUCUUACCUUACCUAUGUCCAGCCCAUGUAUACAUACCAAGAAAAGCUUGAUUAAUUAAUUUGGCCAUGAUGGUUUGGGGUUGAUGGUCUUUCUCCUCGAAUCUGUGGGACUGAUUUUUUUUUUCCCUGUGGGAUUAACAGCAUUUACUUCCUUUCUUCCUUGGCGCUGCCCUUAGGAACUUGAAGCUGAAGCCAACUCCUUUAGCCCCUUCAUGUUACCACAAAAUUUAAAGCAGCUUUUAGUUGUUACACAGUGUCUUAGUAAAAUCUUUUGCUGCAUAUCAAUUGUCCUCCAAAGCUUACUAACCCACAUCAAUAAACAUUUGUCGACCCAC